UACGAAGGGGGCUAGCGUUGCUCGGAAUCACUGGGCGUAAAGCGCACGUAGGCGGAUUGUUAAGUCGGGGGUGAAAUCCUGGAGCUCAACUCCAGAACUGCCUUUGAUACUGGCGAUCUUGAGUCCGGGAGAGGUGAGUGGAACUGCGAGUGUAGAGGUGAAAUUCGUAGAUAUUCGCAAGAACACCAGUGGCGAAGGCGGCUCACUGGCCCGGUACUGACGCUGAGGAGCGAAAGUGUGGGGAGCGAACAGG
rnacentral:rRNA from 1 species